rnacentral:lncRNA from 1 species
AAAAGUCUUCUAACAAAGGGGGAAAGUAAUCUGCCCUCAGGCACAGCAUCUUAUCUGCUUUUCUUGUAGGAGCAGAAACAAGUCUUCCCUCCCUGAGGGAGACAUUCCAGUCUCAAAAACGCUUUGAGGGCAGUGACAGAGGUGAGCCGUGCCCUGUAUGCAAAAUUUCAUCUCGCAUAAACUUCGGAGAUAAAGAGGGAGAGAUACACUUCAAAUGUUCCAGGCACUACACUUCAAGAAUAAUUUGUCUCUGUUGGAAAGUGUCCAGAGAAGAACCAGCAGGAAUGAUGAGAGGUUUGAAACUAUACCUGCAAUGGAAAAAUGAGACAAACUGGAACUUCUUACCCUAAACAACAGAAAACUGAGAAGAGAGAUGAUAACAAGCAUGAAAAAAAAAAGUCAUUAUUGAAGAAUUAAAUUCUUUUCUACAGGAGAAGAAGCAAUGGACUUUAAUGACACUAAUGAAGACUCAGUAUACGCAUAGGAAAAACAUAAGGAUAGAUAAUUAAUAGGGAUAGAUUGUUGUGGAGGAUGGUAUAUGGAGGCUUUAAGGUUAGAGAAAUGUUAGUCAGGAAUAUUUUAGGCAUAACUGAUCCUGUAUAAGGCCAAUGGCUUCUUGAGUUCCUUCUAUAUGGACAUGUUCCAGGCACAGAGCAGAUAAGAAGGAAGAAAGAAGGAACAGUAGAGAACGAAAUAGCCCAACAAAUUACACAGCAGCACAAUCAGGGGAAAGUCUUCUUGGCCCAUUUCCUUCACCCUUAGGGCCAAGGUAAGAUUUGAGCUCAGAGUAGCUACAUAUUUCUGAUAACCCUUGAGAAACUAAAGAGUUAAUGUUUUCACACAGUGUGUAUGUUGGCUUAUUGCUGGGAAGUGGUUUAUAGAGUUGGCUGGUAGAAAAAAAAUGACUGUGAAAACUGUGGAGCCUUCAAGAUCCUUUCUGUGUGCCAUGGCCAAUGCUUGGAUAUUUGCUGUAACUCUUUCACGGAUCAAAAAAGUAUUGUAAUAUUGUAAACCAAUGGUAGAAAUUUUGGUUCAUCUUCCGACUGAAGGCUUGCUUUUAAAAUGUGUAGCCAAGUGCACAGACAGUCCAAGUGCGUACAUGCUGACCGUUCCUAAUCAUGGUUUCAUGUAGAUAUGCCGGUGGCACACAGACAUCAGUUUUGUGCAUGCAGAGCAGCUGUACAACUGCAUGCUGAGUUUCAGGCUGAGCACUAGGC